AGGAUGAACGCUGGCGGUCUGCUUAACACAUGCAAGUCGAACGGAGUACCUCGGUACUUAGUGGCGGACGGGUGAGUAACGCGUGAGAAUCUGCCCUUAGGUCGGGGACAACCAUUGGAAACGAUGGCUAAAUACCGGAUAAGCCGAGAGGUAAAAGAUUAAUUGCCUAGGGAAGAGCUCGCGUCUGAUUAGCUAGUUGGUGAGGUAAAGGCUCACCAAGGCAUCGAUCAGUAGCUGGUCUGAGAGGAUGAUCAGCCACACUGGGACUGAGACACGGCCCAGACUCCUACGGGAGGCAGCAGUGGGGAAUUUUCCGCAAUGGGCGAAAGCCUGACGGAGCAAGACCGCGUGAGGGAGGAAGGCUCUUGGGUUGUAAACCUCUUUUCUUGGGGAAGAACAAAAGUGAACGGUACCCAAGGAAUCAGCAUCGGCUAACUCCGUGCCAGCAGCCGC
rnacentral:rRNA from 1 species